rnacentral:lncRNA from 1 species
UAGUGUUCAUCAUGGCGAGCAGCCGGCACCAGGAGAAAUGGAGCCCCUGCCAGUGAGGCGUAGCAGUGCAGGCGGGGAGACCCUGAAGGAGACAGCAGCGGCUUAAAUUGAUGCCUGCACCUUGAAUACCAGAGGCUUAGGAGGAAGCUCUCCA